rnacentral:misc_RNA from 1 species
GAUGAAGAACGUAGCGAAAUGCGAUAAGUAAUGUGAAUUGCAGAAUUCAGUGAAUCAUCGAAUCUUUGAACGCACAUUGCGCCCGCCAGCACUCUGGCGGGCAUGCCUGUUCGAGCGUCAUUUCAACCAUCAAGCCCCCAGGGGCUUGUGCUGGGGCCCUGCGGCUGCCCGCAGGCCCUGAAAACCAGUGGCGGGCUCGCUAGUCACACCGAGCGCAGUAGCACAUCUCGCUCAGGGCGUGCGGCGGGCUCCUGCCGUGAAACCCCCCACUGUAACCCAAAAGGUUGACCUCGGAUCAGGUAGGAAUACCCGCUGAACUUAAGCAUAUCAAUAAGCGGAGGA